rnacentral:rRNA from 1 species
GAUCAUGGCUAGGACGAACGCUGGCGGCGUGCCUAACACAUGCAAGUCGAGCGAGGAGAUUCCUUCGGGAUGAUCCUAGCGGCGGACGGGUGAGUAACACGUGGGCAACCUGCCUCAUAGAGAGGAAUAGCCUUCCGAAAGGGAGAUUAAUACCUCAUAACAUUGCAGUUUCGCAUGGAACAGCAAUUAAAGGAGUAAUCCGCUAUGAGAUGGGCCCGCGGCGCAUUAGCUAGUUGGUGAGGUAACGGCUCACCAAGGCGACGAUGCGUAGCCGACCUGAGAGGGUGAUCGGCCACAUUGGGACUGAGACACGGCCCAGACUCCUACGGGAGGCAGCAGUGGGGAAUAUUGCACAAUGGGGGAAACCCUGAUGCCAGCAACGCCGCGUGAGUGAUGACGGCCUUCGGGUUGUAAAGCUCUGUCUUCAGGGACGAUAAUGACGGUACCUGAGGAGGAAGCCACGGCUAACUACGUGCCAGCCGCCGC